GAUGAACGCUAGCGGCAGGCCUAAUACAUGCAAGUCGGACGGGAUUUGGGAGCUUGCUUCCAAUGAGAGUGGCGCACGGGUGCGUAACACGUAUGUAACCUACCUUGUUCAGGGGGAUAGCCUCUCGAAAGAGAGAUUAAGACCGCAUAACAUUAUGCAGUAGCAUUACUUUAUAAUCAAAUAUUUAUAGGAACAAGAUGGGCAUGCGGAACAUUAGCUAGUUGGUAGGGUAACGGCCUACCAAGG
rnacentral:rRNA from 1 species